CCUACGGGAGGCUGCAGUGGGGAAUAGUGGACAAUGGGGGCAACCCUGAUCCAGCCAUGCCGCGUGUGUGAAGAAGGCCCUCGGGUUGUAAAGCACUUUCAGUGAGGAAGAACGCCUGGUGGUUAAUACCCAUCAGGAAAGACAUCACUCACAGAAGAAGCACCGGCUAACUCCGUGCCAGCAGCCGCGGUAAUACGGAGGGUGCGAGCGUUAAUCGGAAUUACUGGGCGUAAAGCGCGCGUAGGUGGCUUGAUAAGCCGGUUGUGAAAGCCCCGGGCUCAACCUGGGAACGGCAUCCGGAACUGUCAAGCUAGAGUGCAGGAGAGGAAGGUAGAAUUCCCGGUGUAGCGGUGAAAUGCGUAGAGAUCGGGAGGAAUACCAGUGGCGAAGGCGGCCUUCUGGACUGACACUGACACUGAGGUGCGAAAGCGUGGGUAGCAAACAGGAUUAGAUACCCGUGUAGUC
rnacentral:rRNA from 1 species